UACGGAGGGUGCAAGCGUUAAUCGGAAUUACUGGGCGUAAAGCGCACGCAGGCGGUCUGUCAAGUCGGAUGUGAAAUCCCCGGGCUCAACCUGGGAACUGCAUUCGAAACUGGCAGGCUAGAGUCUUUUAGAGGGGGGUAGAAUUCCAGGUGUAGCGGUGAAAUGCGUAGAGAUCUGGAGGAAUACCGGUGGCGAAGGCGGCCCCCUGGACAAAGACUGACGCUCAGGUGCGAAAGCGUGGGGAGCAAACAGGAUUAGAUACCCUGGUAGUCCACGCCGUAAACGAUGUCGAGUUGGAGGUUGGGGCCUUGAGGCGUGGCUUCCGGAGCUAACGCGUUAAAUCGACCGCCUGGGGAGUACGGCCGCAAGGUUAAA
rnacentral:rRNA from 1 species